rnacentral:rRNA from 1 species
CGCGUAGGUGGCCCGGUCAGUUCGUGGUGAAAGCGCGGGGCUCAACCCUGCGUCGGCCAUGAAUACUGCCGCGGCUGGAGCACUGUAGAGGCAGGCGGAAUUCCGGGUGUAGCGGUGGAAUGCGUAGAGAUCCGGAAGAACACCGGUGGCGAAGGCGGCCUGCUGGGCAGUUUGCUGACACUGAGGCGCGACAGCGUGGGGAGCAAACA